UAGGGAAUCUUCGGCAGUGGACGAAAGUCUGACCGAGCAACGCCGCGUGAGUGAAGAAGGUUUUCGGAUCGUAAAACUCUGUUGGUAGAGAAGAACGUUGGUGAGAGUGGAAAGCUCAUCAAGUGACGGUAACUACCCAGAAAGGGACGGCUAACUACGUGCCAGCAGCCGCGGUAAUACGUAGGUCCCGAGCGUUGUCCGGAUUUAUUGGGCGUAAAGCGAGCGCAGGUGGUUUAUUAAGUCUGGUGUAAAAGGCAGUGGCUCAACCAUUGUAUGCAU
rnacentral:rRNA from 1 species